rnacentral:rRNA from 1 species
UACGGGGGGGGCAAGCGUUGUUCGGAAUUACUGGGCGUAAAGGGCUCGUAGGCGGCCAACUAAGUCGGAUGUGAAAUCCCCAGGCUUAACCUGGGAACUGCAUCCGAUACUGGAUGGCUUGAAUCCGGGAGAGGGAUGCAGAAUUCCAGGUGUAGCGGUGAAAUGCGUAGAUAUCAGGAGGAACACCGGUGGCGAAGGCGGUUCUCUGGGCAUUACCUGACGCUGAGGAGCGAAAGUGUGGGGAGCGAACAGG